rnacentral:snRNA from 1 species
AUGUUCACUUCAGUAGCAGAUAUACUAAAAUUGGAACGAUACAGAGAAGAAAGAUUAGCAUGGCCUCUGUGAAAGGAUGACAUGCAAAUCUGUGAAGUAUUUCAUGUUUUC